ensembl:snoRNA
AUCGCUUUUGUAGUGAGUAUGAUGACUGGGUGUUCACAUGCUUGUGUGAGAUGUGCCACCCUUGGACCUUGUUACAACAUCGGCACAUUAUCCAUCUGACC